rnacentral:SRP_RNA from 2 species
GCUGGGCAUGGUGGCUCAUGCCUGUAAUCCCAACACUUUGGGAGGCUGAGGCAGGUGGAUCACCUGAGGUCGGGAGUUCGAGACUAGCCUGACCAACAUGGAGAAACCCCGUCUCUA